rnacentral:rRNA from 1 species
CUACGGGAGGCAGCAGUCAAGAAUCUUCCUCAAUGGACGAAAGUCUGAAGGAGCAAUGCCGCGUGAUCGAUGAAGCCCCUCGGGGUGUAAAGGUCUUUUAUCAGGGACGAAUUCGUGACGGUACCUGAUGAAUAAGUCACUGCUAACUUCGUGCCAGCAGCAGCGGUAAUACGAAGGUGGCGAGCGUUACCCGGAAUUAUUGGGCGUAAAGCGUCCGCAGACGGUUUGAAAAGUUCUUGGUCAAAUCUUGAGGCUUAACUUCAAGACUGCCAAGAAAACUCUUAGACUAGAGGAUGGGAGAGGCAAGCGGAAUUGCCGGUGUAGUAGUAAAAUGCGUUGAUAUCGGUAGGAACACCAAAAGCGAAGGCAGCUUGCUAGAACAUUCCUGACGUUCAGGGACGAAAGCGUGGGUAGCGAAUGGGAUUAGAUACCCCCGUAGUC